rnacentral:tRNA from 1 species
GCCCGCCUAGCUCAAUCGGAUAGAGCGUCAGACUCUUACGACUCAGGCAGGGCAUCUGAAGGCUGCGAGUUCGACCCUCGCGGUGGGCU